rnacentral:lncRNA from 13 species
CCUACCUCCAUGGUAACGGCAUCUGGGUGCAGGAACUCUCUAGUGGACACACGUGACUAUCCCUAGGCAACAGUCAGGGAUUUACAUAAAAUCGGUCCAAUUGAUCCUCCUCGGUUGCCUCAUUGGGCAUGCGCCUUUUCUUUUUUUUUUACUGAAAACAACCAAACUGCACAGAAUUCCAGUAGACUAAAACUGAUAUUUCUGGUUCCUUCGUAUUGAAAGAUUGUCAGGUUAUGGGAUUUCUAAACAGCAGACUUUAAUCAUGUCAAUCCCUGAUAUUGCACCGAGUUAUCAAUUGGAGAGCAGUUUUCACUGGUGUAAUGAGUACGCUGGGAGUCGGGAAGCAAGUUCAGGAAGUGUAUUGAAUAAAUAAAUGAACAUAGAACAAAACAAGAAACACGAGUAGUGUACAGACAUGAAACACUGAAACAGGAAAAAAUAACGUCUAAGGAAAGAACCAAAGGAAGUGACCGAACAUAGGGAAGAUAAUCAGGAAGGUGAUGAAGUCCAGGUGAGUCUGAUGAGUCGCUGGUGCGCGAAACGAUGGUGACAGGUGUGCGUAGUAAUGAGCAGCCUGGUGACCUAGAGCGUUGGAGAGGGAAUUAAUGUGACACCAGGGACUAUUAAAAUGUACAUUGCUGCCUGCUGUAACUUCAGCACUUUAGAUUACUGUAUUGUCAAUGAUGUUGCUGUUAGUUCAAUGUAAUUUCUGUCCAGGUUAGCUCAAGGUCUAGGCCUGUCCUGAGCCAAGCUGAAGAUGUGAAUGGAUAAUCUCUCUGGCACCACUAUGAUGGGUUAGGGCAGAAGAGUCCUACUCGCAUGGAUAAGUCUGAGCCUGUUUGUGAGUUUCCAUACAGUCACAGGGGACAGAGAGCCUCAUCCAGCUUCAUACUAGAUAUGGUCAGCUGGAGGGCAGACUGGUCAGAGUGAGAGAGAGCCAGAGGAAGGUGGCUGCCUACCUGGGGAUCCCCUGAGCCCCCUUGUCGGGCCGCUGAAGUUCCAGGCCCCCCAGUCUCCCCGGGUGUGGCAGGGACUGAGAGACACCAAGGCUCACCCCCCCUCUGUAUGAGCCUAAGCAGUAAUGUCUCAGAGAGACAGGCAGGGAGACAAACAGCCUAUACUGUUUAAUGGGGAACUCUGAAUCAUGCGUAUUUUGAUUAACAUUUUGCCAUUCAUGUUUGUAUUGAUAGUGUAAGAAAAUGUCACCUUUCUUGUCCUCCUAA